UACAGAGGUGGCAAGCGUUGUUCGGAAUUACUGGGCGUAAAGGGCGCGUAGGCGGUCUUGCAAGUCUGUGUGAAAUCCCUCGGCUCAACUGGAGGAACUGCACUUGAUACUGCCUCGCUUGAGUACUGGAGAGGAGACUGGAAUUUACGGUGUAGCAGUGAAAUGCGUAGAUAUCGUAAGGAAGACCAGUGGCGAAGGCGAGUCUCUGGACAGUUACUGACGCUGAGCACGAAGGCCAGGGGAGCAAACGGG
rnacentral:rRNA from 1 species